rnacentral:rRNA from 1 species
GACGAACGCUGGCGGCGUGCUUAACACAUGCAAGUCGAACGCUGAAGCCCUUCGGGGUGGAUGAGUGGCGAACGGGUGAGUAACACGUGGGUAAUCUGCCCUGCACUCUGGGAUAAGCCUUGGAAACGGGGUCUAAUACCGGAUAGGACACAUCACCGCAUGGUGUGUGUGUGGAAAGUUCCGGCGGUGCAGGUUGAGCCCGCGGCCUAUCAGCUUGUUGGUGGGGUGAUGGCCUACCAAGGCGACGACGGGUAGCCGGCCUGAGAGGGUGACCGGCCACACUGGGACUGAGACACGGCCCAGACUCCUACGGGAGGCAGCAGUGGGGAAUCUUGCGCAAUGGGCGAAAGACUGACGCAGCAACGCCGCGUGGGGGAUGACGGCCUUCGGGUUGUAAACCUCUUUCGACCGGGACGAAGGAUUCGUUUGACGGUACCGGUAGAAGAAGCACCGGCUAACUACGUGCCAGCCGCCGCCGUAAGAC